UACGUAGGGAGCGAGCGUUGUCCGGAAUUACUGGGUGUAAAGGGUGCGUAGGCGGCUCUGGUAAGUUAGUGGUGAAAACUAUGGGCUUAACCCAUAGCCUGCCAUUAAAACUGCUGGGCUUGAGUGAAGUAGAGGUAGGCGGAAUUCCCGGUGUAGCGGUGAAAUGCGUAGAGAUCGGGAGGAACACCAGUGGCGAAGGCGGCCUACUGGGCUUUAACUGACGCUGAGGCACGAAAGUAUGGGUAGCAAACAGG
rnacentral:rRNA from 1 species